rnacentral:rRNA from 1 species
GAUGAACGCUGGCGGCGUGCCUAAUACAUGCAAGUCGAGCGAACGGACGAGAAGCUUGCUUCUCUGAUGUUAGCGGCGGACGGGUGAGUAACACGUGGAUAACCUACCUAUAAGACUGGGAUAACUUCGGGAAACCGGAGCUAAUACCGGAUGAUGUUUUGAACCGCAUGGUUCAAAAGUGAAAGACGGUCUUGCUGUCGCUUAUAGAUGGAUCCGCGCUGCAUUAGCUAGUUGGUAAGGUAACGGCUUACCAAGGCAACGAUGCAUAGCCGACCUGAGAGGGUGAUCGGCCACACUGGAACUGAGACACGGUCCAGACUCCUACGGGAGGCAGCAGUAGGGAAUCUUCCGCAAUGGGCGAAAGCCUGACGGAGCAACGCCGCGUGAGUGAUGAAGGUCUUCGGAUCGUAAAACUCUGUUAUUAGGGAAGAACAUAUGUGUAAGUAACUGUGCACAUCUUGACGGUACCUAAUCAGAAAGCCACGGCUAACUACGUGCCAGCAGCCGCGGUAAUACGUAGGUGGCAAGCGUUAUCCGGAAUUAUUGGGCGUAAAGCGCGCGUAGGCGGUUUUUUAAGUCUGAUGUGAAAGCCCACGGCUCAACCGUGGAGGGUCAUUGGAAACUGGAAAACUUGAGUGCAGAAGAGGAAAGUGGAAUUCCAUGUGUAGCGGUGAAAUGCGCAGAGAUAUGGAGGAACACCAGUGGCGAAGGCGACUUUCUGGUCUGUAACUGACGCUGAUGUGCGAAAGCGUGGGGAUCAAACAGGAUUAGAUACCCUGGUAGUCCACGCCGUAAACGAUGAGUGCUAAGUGUUAGGGGGUUUCCGCCCCUUAGUGCUGCAGCUAACGCAUUAAGCACUCCGCCUGGGGAGUACGACCGCAAGGUUGAAACUCAAAGGAAUUGACGGGGACCCGCACAAGCGGUGGAGCAUGUGGUUUAAUUCGAAGCAACGCGAAGAACCUUACCAAAUCUUGACAUCCUUUGACAACUCUAGAGAUAGAGCCUUCCCCUUCGGGGGACAAAGUGACAGGUGGUGCAUGGUUGUCGUCAGCUCGUGUCGUGAGAUGUUGGGUUAAGUCCCGCAACGAGCGCAACCCUUAAGCUUAGUUGCCAUCAUUAAGUUGGGCACUCUAAGUUGACUGCCGGUGACAAACCGGAGGAAGGUGGGGAUGACGUCAAAUCAUCAUGCCCCUUAUGAUUUGGGCUACACACGUGCUACAAUGGACAAUACAAAGGGCAGCGAAACCGCGAGGUCAAGCAAAUCCCAUAAAGUUGUUCUCAGUUCGGAUUGUAGUCUGCAACUCGACUACAUGAAGCUGGAAUCGCUAGUAAUCGUAGAUCAGCAUGCUACGGUGAAUACGUUCCCGGGUCU